GUGCUGAGCCGGUACCAUUGACUCUCCGGUUGCCCGGGAGCCCCUCGGAAACUAACAAUGCGAGGGGUCUCUGUUCCUUUUCUCUUCUAUUCUCGCCUAAGCUCCAGCUCUGCCUGACCCAGCGGCCAGCAGCCUGUCGGGUACAGCAGAAGCUCCCAAGUAGCUGAGAAGUUCGUGGAAUCUUCCUAUUGAUAAGGAUCCUGAGGUUUAAGGAAGCAAGUUGCUCAAAGGCACGUGGCAGAACUGUGACCCGAACCCAGACCUGUCUAACUCAGAAGUGUGCUAUUUCCACGACACCAAGCUUGCUCCCCUCCUAUGGGCCAAGCACUGUAAUCAGCGCUGAGGAUACUGAAGCGUUAAGACACGUGUUCAGGAAGAGCUCGUACUCCAGCAGAGGAGGCCUUCGGAAGAAGCGCAGAAGGCCCGGGGAAGAACCGUUACUGAUUUUCCCUUCCCCCAAUCAGAAACUUUUUGAAAAGCCUCUGAGGAGAGUCAGGACCCCUGAAAGGAGCACAUCGAGGCAGCAUCGCGUGGCAGUUUGGCGCGGGGACUCUGGGAGUCGGCAGGUGCCUGACACCCUGCGGAUAUGACGAAGGAUCCAGAUGAGCUGCCACAUGAAGAGAUACAGAGGGUGAGGUCUGGAAGAGUCCUGAGCGCCGGAGCUUCUGUCCCCGUGGAGCUGGGAUGCGUCACCCUCCCGGUGCAUGGAUUCGUUCACCAGCCUGGAGCUACAAACACCAUCCUAUUGGGAUUUUCAUGGAGCCUUCAUCACAUAGGCUUGAUCAUUUAUUACAUUCAUUUCCAAUUCCUCUGCCCUUUGUGGAGAAUGGGAGAUGAGCUGAAAAUCCCAAACUUGUAAUUAUUACUUGGUCUUUCUGGUGAUCAGCCCCACUCAGGAGCUCACCCAGAGUCACCUCAUUAGAACAAAAGACACCCAGGAUUUAAAAGCCCUGUGUCAGGAACUGGGGUCAAAGACCAAAUACUAGAACAAAAGAUGCUCUCAGUGCUCUUAUCACUUAGAAAAUUACAAGGGUUUUAGGAGCCCUGUGUCACGACCUGGGACAGAGACCAAUAUGUAUUGUGUAUUUCUUAUUAUUUCACAGUUCCUCAGUGACCCAUCCCCAAGUCAAUGCAUCCAGGUCUGGGGAUUGAGGAAAGAGAAGUCAGGUAGCUAACCUGUGAUCCAAGAAACAAAUCGGGAGAGGCUUGGAGCUGACAGGCCUGAUGGGAACCUGUGAAAAAGACCUAGAUAGGGAAUGGGCUCUCAGGAUCCAAUCCCAGGCUUGCUUCUAAUUAACUGUGUGACCUUGGGCAAGUCACUCCCCUUCAGGUUUUUCAUCUAUAAUAGGAAAGGGGGUAGGUCACAAUGAUCUCUAAGAUCACAAGUUUGCCUCUUUGCCCCAGGACUUUUGCACAAGCUAUUCCCCCUCAACUGGAAACCCUCACUUUCCACCUGGCUAGUUCCUGUUCACACUUCCAAUCUCAAUGUAAAUAUCACCUCCACCAGGAAGCCUUCUUAGAAUCCCCAACCUAGAUUAAGUUCUCUUAUAAUAUCCUACCCCUGCUCCCUAAAUAUCUCCUUCGUAGCUCUUGCCUUGACAGCAGCCAGAACGCCACGUGUCAGAGUAUUUGUUUAAUCUCCACUUCUAGAAUGUCAAUGUAACGGGAGCAGCAGCCACAUCUGACCACAGUUCUGUGUCCCUAGUACCCAGCAUAAGGCUGGGAACCUAGUAGAUGCUCAAUAAAUGUUUGCUGACUAAUGGGCUAGAUGCUUGAAUGCUUUCAUGGUAUAAGACCUUGGGGAUAAAGAAGAAAAUAAAUAAUACAGAAACCAUCCGUGUUUUCUCAGCAUUAUCAACACUUAUCCAUUCUGCAGACCACGUAGAAAAAUAUCUGAACCCACUAGUGAAAAAAGGGAAGGACAGAUGAGGCUGCUGUGUAAGGGACACAUACCCUUCUCCUCUUUUCUGCCUCCCUCUCACCUGGCUCCUGUUGUGGGGGUAACUGGAGAAAGGGCUCACUAAGAAGGGAUCCUGCUGAGAUUCCCCCACCAGGACCCCUCCCCCUUGCUCUGCCAUCCCUCACGGUUGCUCUGGAAACCACUGUGGCAUCAUCAAUGCAGAAUGAGGAUUUCAGGUGGGCUAAUCAGUCCUAGGGAUCACUUGGAAACUUACAGCCUCUGGGUUGUUCCCAUGUAAAUACUUUCAGUGUAGAGAACAGAAGAAAAGACAAUUAGUCUAGGCUGUCAGGAAAUCCACAUAUGCUGCUUCAUUCCUGAAAAGGGUCUUCUUUUAUCCCCAGGAUCUUCCCUGGCUGUGACACAUCUCACACACCGCGGGGAGCUGUCAGCUCUGUGGAGUGACGAGGAAUUAAAAAUAAAAAUUGACUUACAGAGAACAAAAUCAGGCCUGACAACUCAAGUCACUCAGACCAGCCAUGGUUAGAAGAUUGCAAAUAUGUUUGUCAAAGUGGGCUGGCAGGGACAGGUAAGGGAGGAAUUGUCUGUCAGGGCAGAACUUUGGGAAUGUGUUUGUCUCCUUUUGAGAUGAGUUUUCCAGCAGCAGCCCUGUUCCUCCUUGUCAAUUGCUUUUCUUUCCAUCCUUAUUCUGGUCUGGGGUCAUGCCCAGUAAGUUGCAGAUCCUCCACUAGACACGGUUGUCUCCUCAUUAUUAGCAGAUUCCACAUCUGUGAAUUCACCUCCUUGCUAAAACUUAACCCAGAAUCAAUAGUCAUUCAUGGACAUUCACAGAGUGAUGGAAAAUUUGAGUCGUUCAACACUCGUGUUCUCAGCUGAGGUUCAACAAGGCAAUGUGCUGCCUUCCGGUUUCAGCUCUCAUGCUGUAAACAAGUGUCCUUUCGUGGUCUAUGCUGUGCCACGUUUGGCACAUUUCUGUGCAUUUUGUUGGUGAUUUUGCUGUUUAAAAUGGCCCCCAGGGCUUCCCUGGUGGCGCAGUGGUUGAGAAUCUGCUGGCUAACGCAGGGGACAUGGGUUCGAGCCCUGGUCUGGGAAGAUCCCACAUGCCGUGGAGCAACUAGGCCCGUGCGCCACAACUACUGAGCCUGUGCAUCUGGAGCCUGUGCUCUGCAACAGGAGAGGCCGCGAUAGUGAGAGGCCCGCACGCCACGUUGAAGUGUGGCCCCCACUUGCCACAACUAGAGAAAACCCUCGCACAGAAAUGAUGACCCAACACAGCCAAAAAUAAAUAAAUUAAUUAAUUAAAAAAAAAUGGCCCCGAAGCAUACUGUCUAGUGGUGUUCUUAAGUGUAAGAAGACCAUGGUGUGCCUUAAUGAGAAAACAUGUGUGUUAGAUAUGUUUCAUUAAGACAUGAAUUAUAGUUCUGUUGGCCAUGAGUUUAAUAUUAAUGAAUCAACAAUAGAUGCUCACUAAGAUAUCUUUAAACAGAAACACACAUAAAAUAAGGUAUUGAGUGUUGACAACAAUAUUGUGACCAGAAGUCUAUGGGAAACUAACCCUGCAUUUUCACUAGGAAGAAUGAUCCAGUAUUCCUUAAUUUGGUGUUUGUGGUGGCUUUAUAGAGCAUAACUACUUCAAAUCAUGGAAAUCAACUAUUUGACCCACUGAGUUGAACUGUUUCUGAAUCUGAGUCUCUCCCACGCCACUCCUGUACCACACGCUGGAGGGAAGAAAUGGGGCCUGAGUCAUCUGUACAUUCCCACACCUCUAGGAAUGUCGUAGGUCCUUAGUAAGUGUUUGCUGAAUGUAUGACUUGCUGUGAAGGACAUUGAGAACACUCAUUCAUUCAUUCAUUCAGCUAAUAUUUAUUAAGAAUGCCUACUAGGUGUCAGGCACUGUUUUAGGUGCUGAAGAUACAGCAGUACAAAAACUUACAAAAAUCCCCACUCUCAUGGAGGUUUUGCUCUAAUUAGAGAAGACAUACAAUAAGUGAAAUGUAUUAGUCAGUGUUCUUCAGAGAAGAUAGAAUGAAAACGAUAUAUAUAUAUAUAAAACAAAAUUUAUUAUAAAGUAUUGGCACAUGCCAUGGAGGCUGAGAUGCCCCAUGAUCUGCAAUCUACAAACUGGAGACACAGGAAAGCUGGUGUCAGUGCAAAAGCCAGAGAGUCAAUGGUGUAGAUUCCAGUUGGGGUCUGAAGGUCUGAGAACUAGGAUUUCUGAGGGCAGAAGACAAUUUCCCAGCUCAACAGUCAGGCAGGGAGUGAGUUUAAUUUUCUCCCACCUUUUUGUUCUAUCCAAGCCCUCAACAGAUUGGACGAUGCCCACGCACAUUGGAGAGGGCCAUCUGCAUCUGCUUUCCUCAGUCCACCAAUUCAAAUGUUAACCUCUUCCAGAAACACUCUCACAGACAUGCCCAGAAAUAACGUUUCACCCACUAUCUGGGCCUUCCAUGACCCAGUCAAGCUGACACAUAAAAUCCACCAUCACACACACAAAAUAAAUGAAAUGUAUAGUAUGUUAGAUGGUAGUAAAUGCUAAGGAUAAAAAAUGAAGCAGGAAAGGGGGCUAGAAGUUAUCAGGAGUGGAAGAGGGAUAGACAUUUUAGAUAGUGUAGUCAGGAAAGCCUCACUGAGAAGGUGGCUUCUGAGAAAAGGAAGUGAGGGAGCUGGACAGGUAGUUGUCUGGGAGAAAGGCGUUCCAGGCAGAGAAGCAGCAUGUACAAUGGCUCUGAGGCAGGAAUGUGCCUGGGUGUUCCUGGAGCAACAGGAGACCAUCUGGCUGGAGUAGAGUGAACCAAGAGAGAGGGGUAGGAGGUGGGAUCCAAGAGGCAGUAGAGAAACUGUGGGGCCAUGUAGAAUUGACUUUUCUCUGAGUUUGGGUUUAUUCCAGGAAUGCAAGGUUGGUUUAACAUUCAGUCUUUAUAAUUUAUAAUAUUAAUAGAGCAAAGAAAAAAACUAUCCGAUCAUCCCAAUAGAUGUAUUCCUGGAAUAAAUCCAACUGGGUUGUGGUAUAUUAUCCAUUUUAUGCAACACUGGAUUCUAUUUGCAACAUCUUUAUCAGGUUUGGGUAUCAAAGUUAUGCUGGCAUCAGAAAGCAAACUGAGAAGUGCUCUCUUUUUUUUUAUUCCCUGGAAGAGUUUGUACUUCUUUCUUAAAUGUUUGGAAGAAUUCCACAGUGGAGUCUUAUGAGCCUGUAAUUUCCUUGGUGAAAAAAUGUUUAAUUGUGGAUUCAAUCUUGACUAGCUCUGUACUAUGCAGAUUUUCUGUUUCUUUUGUGUCCAUUUUGGUAAGUUGUGUUUUUUCAUGAUUGUUUAUUUCUUUAAAAUUUUUACAUUCGUUGGUAUAAAAUUUGUCAGAAUAUCCUCUUAUUAUUUAUUUUUAAGUGUCUAAGAUGUAUAGUGAUGUCCCUUUUUCAUUUCAGAUAGUGGUAAUAAUUUAUGCUCUCUCUUCCUCUUAUUCAGUGUUGCUAGAGGGUUAUCAAUUUUAAUAACCUUUUCAAAGAACUAACUUUUCUUGGGCAUUGUUGUAGGCACUGGGAAUAAAAGUUGAAUGUAACAGUGUCACUGUUCCCAUGUAUUUUUUACAUACUAGAGGAGGAAAAGAGGCAAUAAACAAGCCAAUAUAAUUUUUUAAAGUAAUUUCAGCAAGCAGUAGGUUUUAGUAAAUUGCAGUCAACAAUAAGAAAAUAGAGCAAUUGGGAGCAACUUUUGAUUGUCUGCUUACUCUAAGGUGGAGAUAUUUGAGCAGAGACUUGAGAAACAAAAAGAGCUAAUCAUGUAGAAAUCUGGGAAAAGAGAUUUCUAGGUAGAGGCAAUAGCAUGUUCAAAGGCCUGAGGUGGGAGCAACAUUCAGUAGUAUAUUCAAGAGCUAAACGAAGGCUGAAAUGGCUGAAACAUCUUGUGUAAGGGAGAGAGGAUGGCACAAGAUGAGACCUGAGAGGUGGGCAGGGUAGAGCCAG